AUUGAACGCUGGCGGCAUGCCUUACACAUGCAAGUCGAACGGCAGCACGGGAGCAAUCCUGGUGGCGAGUGGCGAACGGGUGAGUAAUAUAUCGGAACGUGCCCAGUCGUGGGGAUAACGUAGCGAAAGCUACGCUAAUACCGCAUACGAUCUACGGAUGAAAGCGGGGGAUCGCAAGACCUCGCGCGAUUGGAGCGGCCGAUAUCAGAUUAGGUAGUUGGUGGGGUAAAGGCUCACCAAGCCAACGAUCUGUAGCUGGUCUGAGAGGACGACCAGCCCACAC
rnacentral:rRNA from 1 species